CCGGAAGAACGUUAGUUAACUUGUUAGCAUUAGCAGCGUGAGCUCUACGCUGGGAAACAGUGGGACGGCUUCGGUUCGGUUCUGUUUGCUUGGUAGUUGUUAGUGGAGGUCUUGGACGGAUUGGAUUCAUCAGAGAUGUGGACCCAGCGGGUCAAACGACGUUCGGAGAGGCACGAUAGUCUGGAUCCGUCUUUCGAACCUCGGCUGCACCGAUCGGAAAGUCAGGUUGGGACGAAAUAUCUGUUGCUGUCAGGAAAAACUGAUGAGAGAGACUGCAGCCUGUGGAACAUCAUUGUUUCAGACCGGGACUCUGACAGAAAUGCUUACUUGGACGUUUCCUUUGCAUGUUAGUCUGGAUUUAAGGAGUUUGAUAAGAUCGGAGUAGAUAUCCCUAAGUCAAGUCUAAGUCUUUUCUUACUUUUCAGACAUCAUUAUUGUAUAAAUUGUAUAAUAUUUGGCCUAAUGCCAUCUCUGUGCUGCCCUCCUCAGAUUGAACAGUGGCUACUACAGUUAAGUUUUUCUAUUGGUUCCAGCGGUGCAGCUUUAGUCACACAGCCACGUUCCAGAGUAUAAACCAUCUCAUGAGACGCCCCCUGGUGGUGAGUCAGGAGGUGGAAUACUGAACUUGAUGAGCUUUGAUUAAUAGUGUUUCUCAGCUCUGCUCAUAUGUGAUUCUUUAGUGCCAUGAACACAGAGUGGGACGGCUCUGCUCUGCUCUGCUCUGCUCUGCUCUGCUCUGACUGUAGGUGGUUUGCCGCAGAGCUGCUGCUGCCACUUCACAUGUUAUUACCAGAGUCUUCAAUAUUGAGGUCUAGAAUAACUUUUUGCUCUAGUUGCUCUGUGACUAACUUUUCCUAAAUGCACCCAAAUCUUUGACCAUAUUGCAUUAUUACUGCACAUGUUGACUUUUUUUGUGUUUAAAUUAAUGCCAAAUCAAGGUUAUAUUGACUUGUAAGUGAUUAAUUGAAGGGGCGGUAUUAUGUAUUUUCCAUUAUUAUUUUAUUUUGUCAGGGUUUAUGGAUAGAUUUAACUAUACGUGUGCUGAUCGAUCGGCCACCGAUCGUAAUCAGCUGAUUUCUGUGAAAGUGUAAUCGGUGAUCGCUGAUCACUGACUCUUGUUGCUGAUCACACAAACUGAUCACCUGUGUCUCACUCCGCAGCCUGCCUGUGCAGCUCAUCUUUCCUUCCCACUGCGCAGCAACUAGUCCUAACUAGUGGAACUUCAACACUCAGAGUAAAUGGGGAAGUUUUGUGUUACAUCAGAAAAAUACCUGAAGCAUGUCAUAAUGCAUCAACACAACUAGUCCAAAAUGACAUUUAAAAAGCAAACACUUGAUGGAGUUUGGCUACAUCGAGGCUCAACGCAGGGAAAAGACAUCCGGAAGGUCAGACAGCAGAUAAAGCAGCACACAACUACCAGCACUCACCCGGAAGAGCAUCAUGGUCAGAAAGCUAAACAAAUAACCCAAAAAGUAAUUAAAGUCAACCAGCUAGCAGUGUAAGAUGCUGGUUCUGAUCUCGCUGUUGGGCCGCCGUUAUUCGCUACUGCUAGUAAUAUUUCACAGACGGAGCUCAGUUUCUGCUCCACCCGGCAGUGAACGCUCACAUUUAAUGUCUGCUUAAACCUGCAGCAUGUAACUAAAACAAAAGAUUUUACAUAAAACUUUUGCUAUGUCCUAACAUGAGACAGAUGAGCUCUGAAAAGAACAAAUCGAUCAACCCUGCCUCCUCCUACCAUUGAAUACCCUGCAGAAUUACUCAGCUCAGUCAGAAACAACCAAUCAGAGUCAGCAUUACUCAGCUAGCUAAUCAGAGCUAGCAUUACUCAGCUAGCCAAUCAGAGCUAGCAUUACUCAGCUAGCCAAUCAGAGCUAGCAUUAAUCAGCUAGCCAAUCAGAGCUAGCAUUACUCAGCUAGCUGCUCUGAGGACGUUUUAAUUCAGUAACUCAGGAUUGUUUAUUUUAAUCAACCUGCAUUAACUUUAAUGAAUGUUUCCUUUUUCUGUUGACAUUAUUUGAUAUCUGUGUUGUGAGAUUUAUUUGACUCAUGUAUAAUUUAUGGCUGAGAGCCUUAAAUUAUUAUUAAUUAUUAUUUUACUGAUUGCAGGUUUGUCAGUCCUUUUUACUGAAUAGCUGCUGUUUUGUGCCUGCAAAUAUUUUGCAAGUUUUAUGUCUUUAUACCAGAUAAUUUUUCUAUUUUUCCAUAUCACAUAGUAGCAUUUAUACCUGAAGUGAAAAAUUAGCAGCCAAUCCAGUUGCAACCCCGCAGGACUGCACACAGAGUAAAAAACUUCUGGGGUUUUAAUGGCCCUGUGUGUUAAGACUGCAGGAGAGUUAGACAGUGAAACUAGGAGCAGAAAAUAAAAUCUGCAGUGUAUGAUAGAGCAGGGUUUCCCCCAGUAUAUUAUGCCUGGCAGCCCGCCAUGCUUUACUGGCCCCACCGCCAGGCUAAGCCUUUCUUGUUUAUGUUUUUA